GACGUAGGGCGCGAGCGUUGUCCGGAUUUAUUGGGCGUAAAGAGCUCGUAGGCGGCUUGUCGCGUCGACUGUGAAAUCCCGCGGCUCAACUGCGGGUCUGCAGUCGAUACGGGCAGGCUAGAGUUCGGUAGGGGAGACUGGAAUUCCUGGUGUAGCGGUGAAAUGCGCAGAUAUCAGGAGGAACACCGAUUGCGAAGGCAGCUCGCUGGAACGUUACUGACGCUGAGACGCGAAAGCGUGGGGAGCAAACAGG
rnacentral:rRNA from 1 species